GGGGGUUGCGGCGCAACCUGCCCGUCUAUCUGAUUAUAAAUUCGGACCAAGUUCUAACCGGACCCGGGCCGGGUCGGGUCUUGGUGAAUAUAGUGAGCCAUUCAAAUUCCCUGCCCGGUGGAAGAGAAGGCGACGUGUGCCCAGUGGGAAAAGCGGCUUCUAGGGUUUCGGUGAGCGGUAAAUCAACCGCCCGAUCUCGCUCCUUGAGGUCUUCGAUCUCGAUCCGGAUCUCGCCAGUUGAUCAUGGGGAGGGGCAGGUUCAAGGCCAAGCCCACCGGCCGGAGAAACUUUUCCACGCCUGAAGAGAUGGCUAAGAACAAUCCAUGAAAUGAUUAUCGUGAUGAAGAGUCUGAUUUUCAAGAUUCUGAUGGAAACUAUGAUCAAAGUGAAGAGGAAGAUUGAGAGGACUGGAGAUGGGGAUAUCAUUAAAUUUGUCUACUUGUGUUAAGCUGAAGCAAUCACUUCAGAAGCUGAAUAUGAGAAUGAAAAUUUUGUUAUUGAUUUAGAAGAUUUCUGAUUCAGAUUAUAAACGAUAAAAGUUAUUGGUGAAGAGGAAACGAAGACCGAGAAUAUUGGAGAUGGAAUAUGUCAAUUAAUUUAGUGUGCACGUAUUAAAUCGAGACACUGAUUGUCUUAUUUUGAUGUAUAUUUUGUGUUGCUCAAUAUUUUAUAAAUAGACAUCUAAAAUUGGUCAUCUGUAUUAUGUUUGGUAGUUAAUGGAAUAUAACAACUAUAUUAUGUAAA